GCGGCCGCGCCUCGCCGCCCUCCCCGAGUUUGCCAUCUCCGUACCACCACCACCACCACACACAGCACCCUCAAGACUCCCUGUGAUCCUGGGAUGCACUCAACGAAGAGUGUGUGGCCCAGGAUUUGAUGGAAAUGCUACAAGAGAAGCAGGCUCUCCCCUUCUGAAAUGAUGAGUGAUAAUGACCAUACAGGUCAACUUUUCCACCACUUGGAGGGAGCCUGUCAAAGAACAAAGGCAACAGAGAAGAGAGCAGAGCUGAGGUUGGGUGAGAGGGAGAAAUUCCUGAGUGCUUGAAUCCCACAUGCCGGAAGCCGCACCACACUUGGACUUCUCAAUACAGGAGCCAGUGAG
rnacentral:lncRNA from 10 species